UAUUAGAAAUAAGUUUCGAAAUAAUAGUCUCGUUGAAAUGUCUUUUAGUCACACUUUUCUCGGGUUGUAGUUUGCCUGAUGUUUACGUCAUGUUCCAGUUAACCCAUGCUAUUCACUCAGGUUUAUUUUUACUGGAUUUGUAUUUUAAUAAUGGAUUCAUUAGAUUUUAACAUCUGUCAACUUUUUUUGCCUUAAAUUUAUUUAUAUACAUAAUUUAAUAAUUGUUCCUGCUGUUAACGUUUUAUCAUGAAUAAAUCUUUACAGUCUAAAGAAUAAAACUGGUUCCCACUUAAUCAUUGAUUUUUGUUCUGUCACAAUUUAUUCCAUAAAAGACCAAAUCAUAGUUGUUGUUAUCCAACAUAGCAGUCCUUAAAACACUUAUAUGUAAAUACUCCUUAAACACGUGGUUAUUUCUCUUGAAUAUUAUAUGACAUACCAUUUGUGUAAACUAUUUUAAGCCGAAGUUCGAGACGAUAUUGAUCGACGAGUGUUAUAGGUUGCAAGUCUGUUAAUAUAGACAAUGCAAUUUCCCGUAGGAACUCCCUUUGCGGCUAAAACUGUGCCACUUUUAAUAGGAAGUUUGGUGAAAAAUUAUAUCCCUGAACGGAAAGUUGAUAUACACUACUAUUUUAUUCAAAGGUCAAAAUAUAGGGCUGUGCGGCAUAUUUUCAACAUUUAUAUGCCCUGAACUUCUAAGAGUUUAAACUUUACUAAAAUGCUAUACUACCCCUACCUCCACUUUUCGACCUCCUAAGAAUUAAAUUUUAGGCGCUACCAUUUUUUUCUAUAUACUGGUAACAUUCUCAAGUUAUGUCUCUAUGAGAUGAAACACAGAGAUCAUAUCUGGGAACCAGUACGUUAACAAAUUAACAUAUCUAUGAAUAUAAUAUAUCUCCCCAAAAGAGGCGUGGCUUGUGAAACAGCUGUAUUUACAAAGUGCUACCUAAAAUCACUCUAUUAUAAAGAUUUAUAUUGACUUAUCAAUACCGAAUUUCAAGAUAUUUGGUACCCAGUUAAAUUCAUGCAGGCCAGAAAUAUAUAUAUAAUAAACAUGUACUUGUAGCCCCCUAUAACGUUCUUUUACAUGAAACAUAAUCUUGCGCUGACAUAGUUUAACAUAUCUCAGCUUUGCCAAUUGGAAAAAAUAAGAAUUUUAUGGAUUUCAACUUCUUCCAUAUUAAUGUAUUUAAUUACAAAGUAGCAUAGAGUUCAUGGAUAUACUUUGGAUAAUGUUUCCUUUAUUUCGCUUCAUGUAAAGCUACAUAUAAACUGAAUCAUAACAUGUACCUAUUCAAAAUGGAUCUUUGUGUAAUUCAUACAAUCAAUCGUAGAUACGUCCGGUGAUCGGGCUAUUAUUCAGCCAAUAAAAUACAUUUAUUUUUUUACUUUUUUUGCAUGAUAACAAAAAUACAAUUUGAACAUUGUAUCCGAAAUGUAUUACCUUAUUAUAAAAGUGAACAAUUUGUUAUGAUUACAGUUUAUUUGUAGGUAAUAGAUUAAUACAGUUAAAGUAUGAAAAUCAGAUAAUUAUUGGUUUUAGUACCAAUAUCCUUUUUGUUUAACAUCCAACCCUCGUCCGUGCAUAUCAUCAAUUUUUUGUAUGUUUCGUAUUAGUCUCCGACAUAAAAGUGCCACUGUAGACUAUUCAUCAUGACAGGGCUAUCUCUUUCAGACAAUCAUAUAGAAUUAGAUGUUCAAAUAAUUCUCCCCUAACAAAAUAUUCAUCACAAAAAACGUUCUUACUACAUUUCUGUAAAGAAAACACAAUUGAAAUAUUGUUAGUGGCUGUUUACAGUCUAUGAAUUGUUUUCUUCGAAGGUGUUAGUGGCUGUUUACAGUCUAUGUAUUAUUUUCUUUGAAGGUGUUAGUGGCUGUUUACAGUCUAUGUAUUAUUUUCUUUGAAGGUGUUAGUGGCUGUUUACAGUCUAUGUAUUAUUUUUUUUGAAGGUGUUAGUGGCUGUUUACAGUCUAUGUAUUAUUUUCUAUGAAGGUGUUGGUGGCUGUUUACAGUUUAUGUAUUAUUUUCUAUGAAGGUGUUAGUGGCUGUUUACAGUCUAUGUAUUAUUUUCUUUGAAGGUGUUUGUGGCUGUUUACAGUCUAUGUUUUUUAUGAAGGUGUUGGUGGCUGCUUACAGUCUAUGUUUUUUUUUCUUUGAAGGUGUUUGUGGCUGUUUACAGUCUAUGUAUUAUUUUCUAUGAAGGUGUUAGUGGCUGUUUACAGUCUAUGUAUUAUUUUUUUUGAAGGUGUUAGUGGCUGUUUACAGUCUAUGUAUUAUUUUCUAUGAAGGUGUUGGUGGCUGUUUACAGUUUAUGUAUUAUUUUCUAUGAAGGUGUUAGUGGCUGUUUACAGUCUAUGUAUUAUUUUCUUUGAAGGUGUUUGUGGCUGUUUACAGUCUAUGUUUUUUAUGAAGGUGUUGGUGGCUGCAUACAGUCUAUGUUUUUUUUUCUUUGAAGGUGUUUGUGGCUGUUUACAGUCUAUGUUUUUUAUGAAGGUGUUGGUGGCUGCUUACAGUCUAUGUUUUUUUUUCUUUGAAGGUGUUGGUGGCUGUUUACAGUCUAUGUUCUUUAUGAAGGUGUUGGUGGCUGCUUACAGUCUAUGUUUUUUUUCUUUGAAGGUGUUUGUGGCUGUUUACAGUCUAUGUAUUAUUUUCUAUGAAGGUGUUAGUAGCUGUUUACAGUCUAUGUUUUUAUGAAGGUGUUGGUGGCUGUUUACAGUCUAUGUAUUAUUUUCUAUGAAGGUGUUAGUGGCUGUUUACAGUCUAUGUUUUUUAUGAAGGUGUUGGUGGCUGCUUUCAGUCUAUGUUUUUUUUUCUUUGAAAGUGUUGGUGGCUGUUUACAGUCUAUGUAUUGUUUUAUAUAAAGGUGUUGGUGGCUGUUUACAGUCUAUGUAUUGUUUUCUUUCUAUGAAGGUGUUGGUGGCUGUUUACAGUCUAUGUAUUGUUUUCUAUGAUUGUGUUGGUAGCCGUUUACAGUUUAUGUAUUUUUUCAUAUGAAGUUGUUGGUGGUAGAUGUUUGGUUA